GGUGGUAUAGCUCAGUAGUAGAGUGCAUGCUUAGCAUGCACAAGGUCCUGGGUUCAAUCCCCAGUACCUCCA
rnacentral:tRNA from 1 species